rnacentral:rRNA from 1 species
UUUUGAAUAUAAUAUAAAGUCUAACCUGCCCACUGAAAAUUUUAAAGGGCCGCGGUAUAUUGACUGUGCAAAGGUAGCAUAAUCAUUUGUCUUUUAAUUGAAGGCUAGAAUGAAUGGUUGAAUGAAGUAUUAACUGUCUCAUUUUAAUAAAUUUAAAAAUUUAAUUUUUUAGUCAAAAAGCUAAAAUUUAUUUAAAAGACGAGAAGACCCUAUAGAUCUUUAUAAAUUUUUUUAUAAAAAUAUUUAGAAUAAAAAAUUAUUUUUAUAAAAUUAUUUAUUUUAUUGGGGUGAUAGGAAAAUUUAUUUAACUUUUCAUAAUUUAACCCAUUGAUUUAUGAUUUAUUGAUCCAAUUUUAUUGAUUAUAAAUUUAAGUUACCUUAGGGAUAACAGCGUAAUUUUUUUAGAGAGUUCUUAUCGAUAAAAAAGAUUGCGACCUCGAUGUUGAAUUAAAGGUUAUUUUUAGAUGUAGAAGUUUAAAGUUUAGGUCUGUUCGACCUUUGAAUCUUU